rnacentral:tRNA from 1 species
GCUGGUGUGGCUCAGUGGAUAGAGCGUUGGCCUGGGAACUGAAGGGCCCGGGGUUCGAUUCCCAUCAAGAGCA